UGCCUCAGCCUCCGGAGCUGCUGGGAUUGCAGGUGCCUGCCACCGCACCCGGCAGCAUCACUGUCUUUGAUUCCAAAGUCCUUGUAGACUGAACUUCAAGGAAAUGGAGAAGACCUGAGCUUGCAGCCUACAAAAGCCGUAUUUCCUAAAUUCUUCAUCCCCAGAAUCAAAAUCAGUGAGGGUGGGGUGAGGGGAAUGUGAUUAGAGGCCUUGAGGGAUCUGGCCAGGUCACAUGAGCCACAGUGACCCAGAACUAGCCCACUCGGGAUCCAAGAUGCGUGGACCUGAGAGUAUCCAGUAGAGGACGGGCAGGUGACAGGCACUUCCGGCCCCAUCUUUUGGGGGGCUGGUCUUUGGGGUGAAACAUAUUUAUCUAGGGCAGCAAGGGUUAACGCCGGGGCUGGGAUAGGCCAGGCAGCACGGAGCACUCCCUGUUUAUUAAUAAGCUAUUUAUCACCAGCUUUGCUUUUAAUGCCAUUUGGGCUUAAUGUCGUUAAUGAAAUAUAAAUACCCACGCUAACGAUGUCGGUCAGAGGCAGCACGGGCAGCAGACGGCUCGAGAACCAGGGCCAAACCACCGGGCACGCUGGGGAAGAGGCUGAGAGCUCAGGAAGCGGAAGAGGUUCCCACCAGCUCGGCACCCCCGGCCCGACUGCUGCACCACAGACUCCCUGGCUGGCUGUGCCGGGAAAGGCCGGAGGAGGCGGCCCACGGGGAGAGGGGGCCUCCGCGGGCGCAGAUGCUGUUAACUCCUAGAGCACAGAGCCGGGGCCCGCGCGCUCCCACCUCAGGGCAGUGCCCGCCUGGCAUCGGGCCCCUUGGCUGCAGGAGGCUGGACUUCCACCAGCUGGCAGCUGGCCUCUCUCGCUGCCCUGAGCUCCCUGACCACGAGGAACAGAGCCAGGGUGACAGGGGUCACGAGAGCCAGCAGGCUGGACCCCAUCAAGCUUUCCAAUAAAGGCGCGCCCCUCCUGCCCUGAGAGUGACAUCCUGGGCAGCCAGCCCGGCUGGACAGUGUGUCCUUCCUGAGAAGCCAGCACUCACUCUGCUCUGUGGCCGUGCAGGUGGGCAUGGGGAGGUCAGCAACGGGUAUCUCUGUUCAGUGCCCAGAAACCUGGAACAAGGAGGGGCCCUGAAUAGCAGGCUGUUGUCCCUGACCUUGUAUGUGACCUGGCCUGGCCCCUCCCACACAGGAGGCCACCCCUGCUCAGAACAAAUGCCCUGGUUGUCCGCCCAACCCAGAUGACCCCGGAACUUCGAGCCUUCCCCUUAGGCGCAGGCUGGAUUUCCUAGAUGCCAGCUUCCCCUGGGACAGGUGGCCGGGGGACACUGUUCCCUCGCUUGGGGCCACAGAUGUUCCAGAGGGGACUUAGACUCUAAGCAUCCAAGGACCACCUGGGCCCAACAGGUUGGAAGACAGGCAAGUGGCCGACAUCUGUCCUCCUCGUCCUCCUCUCCCUGUACUGUGACCACGAGGUCACCAGGACCCCAGCCUCACCCUGCUUGAAAAAGCCCCAGGUGGCUCCCCGGGAAGUGCCACCUCUUCCAAAGGGAGCCCCAAAGCCUCUGGCCCUGCUCUCAGGUUCGCCAGAGGAAACGUGGAAGCAGAAUGUCUCAUACUCAACGAAGACACCUUUAGUGGGAGCCGAUCGCCAACAGCCCAGGGAACGUACUCGUGCUGAGGAUGGGGCGCAGGCCACCUGAGGCUCGGCCACACCCGGGUCCUGCAUCUAUACUUGCUAAUGCUGACGACGGUAUCCCGGCUCCUCAGCGGUCUCAACCCCAGACCAGCAGAGCAAGGCUCGGGUGGGACAAGCCUCCUGCUCCCGAGGGAGGUCAACCAAACCCAAGAGAAAACGUGGGCGGGGAGCAGAAGGCACCCAGAGGCCACAGGGACUGAGGCCGAGCAUCUCCCCUGGUCCUUCAGGUGUCAGCGCUCCUAAAGCCAUCGUUGUUCUGCUCGAGCCACCCCGGCACCAGACGAGACCCCCAGGAGCUCUACACAGGGCAGGUGCGGCCAGACCUGCCAGCCCCCGUCCCUCCGUCAGUGCCUGGGGUCACAGGGGCUUCCAAUUCUAUCAGGAAAAACUGAAGGGCCAAGGGCGGGGCGCCUGUGCCAUCAGACAGAAUUCCUACCCAGAUUAAAACCAGAAUCAUCAGUG